UUCCGCCCCUUAGUGCUGCAGCUAACGCAUUAAGCACUCCGCCUGGGGAGUACGGUCGCAAGACUGAAACUCAAAGGAAUUGACGGGGGCCCGCACAAGCGGUGGAGCAUGUGGUUAAUUCGAAGCAACGCGAAGAACCUUACCAGGUCUGACAUCCUCGGACAAUCCUAGAGAUAGGACGUCCCCUUCGGGGGCAGAGUGACAGGUGGUGCAUGGUUGUCGUCAGCUCGAUGUCGUGAGAUGUUGGGUUAAGUCCCGCAACGAGCGCAACCCUUGAUCUUAGUUGCCAGCAUUCAGUUGGGCACUCUUAAGGUGACUGCCGGUGACAAACCGGAGGAAGGUGGGGAUGACGUCAAAUCAUCAUGCCCCUUAUGACCUGGGUCUACACACGUGCUACAAUGGACAGAACAAAGGGUAGCGAAACCGCGAGGUUAAGCCAAUCCCACAAAUCUGUUCUCAGUUCGGAUCGCAGUCUGCAACUCGACUGCGUGAAGCUGGAAUCGCUAGUAAUCGCGGAUCAGCAUGCCGCGGUGUAAUACGUUCCCGGGCAAUGUACACACCGCCC
rnacentral:rRNA from 1 species